rfam:Malassezia globosa CBS 7966 mgl_sf_11.1, whole genome shotgun sequence.
GACCCUGUAACUCAGUUGGUUAGAGUGUGGAGCUAAUACUUCGGUAUAGUACACUCCAAAGUCGUCAGUUCGAGCCUGGCCAGGGUCA